UACGGAGGAGGCAAGCGUUAUCCGGGAUUAAUGGGCGUAAAGCGUCAGUAGGUGGUUGGCCAAGUCUGCUGUCAAAGGGUGGGGCUUAACCUCAUAAAGGCAGUGGAAACUGGCGAGCUAGAGUGCGGUAGGGGUAGGGGGAAUUCCCAGUGUAGCGGUGAAAUGCGUAGAGAUUGGGAAGAACAUCGGUGGCGAAAGCGCCCUGCUGGGCCUGCACUGACACUGAGGGACGAAAGCUAGGGGAGCGAAAGGG
rnacentral:rRNA from 1 species